GCCCGCGUGACUAUCGGCGUGCCACGUGACCGGCCGACACCCCUCCCCCCCUCCCCUCUUACGCCGCGACCCCGGAGGACCAGCUCCCAGCCCCUCCUCUCACGGAGCGGUGCGGCGGUGACGAAGACCGCCCCGCGGCCGCGCCUCGGGCGACCUGGAGCUAGUAGGCGCGGGCGCCGGGUGGGAGGGUGGCGUGGGCGAGCGGGAAAGGGACAGUCUCCCAGGCUGAAGCGCGAACGAGAUGGGAGGUGGAGGACGUCCUGGGCCCAGAGAACUUCAGAAGCAGAAACGCUGAAGGAUGAAAACCACAGGUGGUGGUGAUGUGAAAUGCUGGGGGGCGGAAAGGGGCUGGAAUUGGAGAGUCUGACUGGCUCUGCUUGACAGUUAUCACGAGAUCACAAAAAUGUGACGUAUUUAUGACUGGAAAGAAUCUGUACUUUUCAGAGCGAGCUGGAGGCAUCCCAUUCCCCGCUUCUAGCGUGGGCUCUUGCCCUGAUGGUUGAUAAUCUCUUAGUAAUUGCCCCCAAGUCCCCUCCCCCCCAAACAGUAUAUACUUACUGCAAGCAUUUAGACAUUGCUUAGACUUUGGGUGCAAAAUUGGGAAUACCCAGAGAUAAAGACAGGCCCCUGCAGGGGCUUACAUAGCAAUCCCAAGAGUCAGCACUUUGUUUUGUGGACAAUUGAAAAUCAUCCCAAAGACUUGGCCUUUUAGCAAUCUCACGUUGAAUGGUUGCAUGGAUAAACUAGUUAAGGGGCCCUUUUUUAUUGCAAGUGGAAGAUAAUGACAGCUUGAACAGCUGUACAGCAGCAAGAGGACUGUAGAUCCAGGAAAUAGUGGGUAUCCAGAAUCGGAGGGGUAAAUACAAGAGCAGCAGGUCGAAGUGUGAUUUCAGGACUGAGCAUGUGGGAAGGCACUCCUUUAUGUGAUAUUCAACGUGUACGAAGGGAAAGGAGUCAUUUACUUAAGUCACAGAAUGAAGGAGCUGAACUGUGAAUAAAGAGAUUGUAAAAAUUACUAAUGAAAAUACAAAGAUUUUUCUUGAGAGAAUAUUUUAAACAUAUUAUCCUCUAAGAAAUACAUCAAUCAGAAAAGUAAUGAACAACCAUUAAAAACUUAAAGUCAUAAUCCAUGUAAAUGUUUAGAAACCAGAUAGAGAUAGUAGCAAAAAUUAAAAUUAAAGUUAUUUAACAGUGUGAAUUCUUUAAAUUAAUAUAUAGACAUUGCCAUCAAUUUUAACAGAUGAAUAACAAGAAUAAGGACAUAGAUAAUCUAGUAUAUGAUAUUUGGUUGUUUUUUGCUAUUUUUCCUUUUAUUAAAGAGAGCUUGUUAAAUGAAUGAAACAUAAUUUAAUUUCAUAUCUAUAGCUUCUAAUAAAAUUAGUUUACAUUAUCAGAAAAAGAAUUCACUAUCAGACAAUGUGUCCAGAAUUUUGAUUCAUACACUCAUCAUUGUAGAAGCAGAGAGGAGGGAAUGACUAAAUUUUGCCUGGGGAAGUCUUUCACAAAGGAGGUGACUUUCCAGCUGGCUCCUAAAGCAAGAGUUUGCCAACCAGGGAAGGGGAGCAUGGGCAAAGCACAGAGGAGUGAAAAAAGAUGGCAUGUAGGUAUACCUGCUUUUUGAAAGUUGUUAUUAAGCCACUUUGCUUUUAUGAAAAACCUCCAUCACAUCAGUACCUGUUUUGCCAAAGAAAUCUGGAGGAUUUUCGUUUUUACAAAAAAAAAAAAAAAAAAGCAAAAAGUGAAAAUAGUGUUCAGUGUUUGCUUUGCAGCAAGCCAUUAUAGAGGCAGUGUGUGCCCAAAGCAGAAAGAGUGGCCGUGUCAAGCCCCUUCCCUGGGAACUAUGCUCAGCCGCCACACCUUUGAACCGUGUCUUGGUAUCCUUACUGCCUGAGCCAGGAUUCUGCAUGUGGUAAGUGCUCAACAAAUAUUUGUUGAAAGAAUGAAUAAAUGAGGAAGCAUUUGUAUUAACUUUUUAAAGAUAGUCAGAAUUUCAAUGUGUAGACGAAAAGCAGUCCAUGGAGAAGGGCUACAAAUUUGAGGAGAACUUCAUCUAAUUUGUUUGAUUCAGGAUCCAGAAGGUCCUAGAACAGUGUCUGGCUCACAGACACUUAAUGAAUAUUUUUGAAUGAAGAGAAUGAACCUAAGCAGAGAUCUCUAAAGAAUCUGGAGUGCUAUGGGGGUGUGAGCAGUUCUGUUUGUCUAGACUCAAUAGUGCAUGAAGAGAAAUACUGAUAAAAAUGUUUGUUUCCCCUUUACCAUAGGCGCUAUUUGAUUAAGGCUCCUGCCUACUUUAAGCUUACAUCUAGGUCAGAUAAACUCAUGGGAAAACAUCAGAAAUCCUAUCCAGGUUGGGUCAGCAGCCUCUGAUGUUGGGAUUUUUUUAGACCAAAAAAGGGCAAAUUUAUAUAGUUAGGAUCGUUAUGUGGUGUUUAAGGCCUUUUCAAUAGGGACCCCUUUUGCUUAAACUGCAUCCUGCUCCAGGCAACCUGAUGGCUUCUCUGGCCUAGGAUUAUCUUGGCUCCAGUCUGAUCUCUUAGGCCUUUAUGCCUAUAGCCUCAGUGGUUAUAAAUGCUCAUGCUGGCCAUAACCACAGACAUAAUCUGAAACCCCCUUUAGGGAGGUGGGGCACCAAUGAAACCUUAAACUAGUUAUGUAAGUCCUUUAGAGAAAAUCAUUCAGACCCUUUGCCCACUGGAAUUCCCCAGUUGGCCCUAAUAUUUAUCACUCAUUUCCUUGCCUUCUUCCCAUUCUCCUCCUGCCUGGGUCUAUUCUCCUUCCUUGACUAAUAGGCUAUAGACUCCAAGAAACCUAGAGCACAAACCCCUUCAACUUUCCUGUUCUUUGGCCAUCUAUUAACGUUUGACUUCAGGAAACAUUACUGGCAUAUUACUGUGAAUCAGAUUUCCAAAAUGUCCAAUAUCACCGAUGCUAUGGGUAGACCUCUUUGUGGUAAGAGCACAGUUAAAAUGUCUUACUUAUGUUGGGAGUGCCUUUUGGAUCUUUCUCUUGGAUUUUUUUUCCUUCCUGGGAUUGAUUAUCCUUCUUUGAAUUUUUCUGCCACAGAAAAUGCCUUGGGGCUUCCUCCCACUUGGGAGAGAACUGGAGAGAGGAGUCAGGAGGUGUCCAGAAGAAGGGAGGAGUGGAACAUGAUGCAGGAUGUAGGCUAGGCAGAAGGAAUCCUGUGGCCCCAAGGUAGUAAUGCCUAGCUCACCUGUGUAGAGUAUUCAUUCAAGAUCUGGGUCAAGGCCCUGGCUACAGUGUUCCUUGGCCUGGAGUAUCCUCAGCAUGUCUCUUCCAUAGGGACUUGGGUUAUAACCACAUUAGGCAGUUGGCCAAAAUUCAAUGGUUUGAAUAUUCUGCUCCUGGCCUCAUACUAUCAUGAAUAAAGAUCAAGCAUUCAUGAAAUUCCAGAGAAAGAUUCAACUCUUAACAAAGAUCUUAGGGAGAGACACUAUAUUACUGAACUCAAAUCAAUAUAUGCUGUUUGGGAAAAAAAAAAAAACAAUAUAUAGUUUUCAAACAUACAAACCUAUGCAUGGUUAGAUACAUACUAUAGUGUAUGUUUGAAAUCUGAUAUACAAACAGUAUAUAUUUACUGUUCGUAAUGUAUGUUUGAAAACUAUUUAAUCCUCUUUUGUAAAUGUUUGCUUGAAUUAAAACAACAGAACAACCUCCUUGGCACCCCCAAAAGGGAUACAGAGAUCUAGGGGAGAAUUCUGGGAGGCAUAAAUGUUUAGAGCUAGAUAUGAUCUUCGAAAUUAUCUAAGUUACUUCUCAUUUAAGAUAAAAGAACUGAGAACCAGCGAGGUAAAGUUGAAGUGCUAUUCCUCAAGAACAAGAAUAGGAUGUUGUUCAUAGUGAAACUUCCAGCACUUAGCACAGUGAAUGUACAUUGUAAGUGCUCAGUAAAUUUUUGUCAAAUGACAAAAUCCAUUCCUUGAUACACAUAAUACAGUGCUUUUCAUGCAGUAGGCACACCAAUAAAUUUUUAUAUUGCAGUUACCCAACCAGCUGCAAAUAUAGCCAGAGAGUGGUAAGGCUGGAACCAGACCACAGAUGUGUGGCCUUCCUAACUGGGACUCUCUCUACCCCACUGGAUUGUGCCUCUGGAAAUGCCUGCAGUCAUCUAGUCUCCUGGGAAUUGAAUG